rnacentral:rRNA from 1 species
UACGUAGGGUGCAAGCGUUAAUCGGAAUUACUGGGCGUAAAGCGUGCGCAGGCGGUUAUGUAAGACAGUUGUGAAAUCCCCGGGCUCAACCUGGGAACUGCAUCUGUGACUGCAUAGCUAGAGUACGGUAGAGGGGGAUGAGAUUCCGCGUGUAGCAGUGAAAUGCGUAGAUAUGCGGAGGAACACCGAUGGCGAAGGCAGCCCCCUGGGCUGACACUGACGCUCAGGCACGAAAGCGUGGGGAGCAAACAGG